GCGGGACUGCCCGGCACGAGCUGCAUGAAUAUCCCUGAGGCUAUAAGCAAUCCACGGGAGCUGUCCCUAUCCUGGUCUGCGGGUUCGUCCUGGAGGUUGGGAUAUACGGCGCCCACCUGACGUUGAGGCGUCAGAGGAUUUCGCCGGCAAACGACCCAUGGUGGUUCCGCC
rnacentral:sRNA from 1 species